rnacentral:rRNA from 1 species
GAUGAGCGCUGGCGGCGUGCCUAAUACAUGCAAGUCGAGCGAACAGACGAGGAGCUUUCUCCUCUGACGUUAGCGGCGGACGGGUGAGUAACACGUGGAUAACCUACCUAUAAGACUGGGAUAACUUCGGGAAACCGGAGCUAAUACCGGAUAAUAUAUUGAACCGCAUGGUUCAAUAGUGAAAGACGGUUUUGCUGUCACUUAUAGAUGGAUCCGCGCCGCAUUAGCUAGUUGGUAAGGUAACGGCUUACCAAGGCAACGAUGCGUAGCCGACCUGAGAGGGUGAUCGGCCACACUGGAACUGAGACACGGUCCAGACUCCUACGGGAGGCAGCAGUAGGGAAUAUUCCGCAAUGGGCGAAAGCCUGACGGAGCAACGCCGCGUGAGUGAUGAAGGUCUUCGGAUCGUAAAACUCUGUUAUUAGGGAAGAACAAAUGUGUAAGUAACUAUGCACGUCUUGACGGUACCUAAUCAGAAAGCCACGGCUAACUACGUG